CGGACGGGUGAGUAAUGUCUGGGAAACUGCCUGAUGGAGGGGGAUAACUACUGGAAACGGUAGCUAAUACCGCAUAACGUCGCAAGACCAAAGAGGGGGACCUUCGGGCCUCUUGCCAUCAGAUGUGCCCAGAUGGGAUUAGCUAGUAGGUGGGGUAACGGCUCACCUAGGNGACGAUCCCUAGCUGGUCUGAGAGGAUGACCAGCCACACUGGAACUGAGACACGGCCAGACUCCUACGGGAGGCAGCAUG
rnacentral:rRNA from 1 species